rnacentral:SRP_RNA from 2 species
GCCGGCUGAAGUCACGAUCAGCUGUCACCAUGUGGGGCUGCGAUCUUGGAUCAUCCGCGUCUGUCACCUCGCCUCACGUACCGUUCAAUCCCUUGACAAUGUCGCAGAGCCAGCGGGCUGUUCAGCGAAGGCUGGGCAUGUCCGCUGGGUGUAGGGUGCCGCAAACCGCUUCAGGCUGGCGACAGAGCAGAGAGUAGCGGCAGCUGCGAGCCUAGUCAAAGAAAGUGCGAACACGAGUUGGGUGGCCGGAGCAGCGUGAGACAUGAACGAUU